rnacentral:rRNA from 1 species
CAUUACCGAGUUAUUCAACUCAUCAACCCUGUGAACAUACCUAAACGUUGCUUCGGCGGGAAUAGACGGCCCCGUGAAACGGGCCGCCCCCGCCAGAGGACCCUUAACUCUGUUUCUAUAAUGUUUCUUCUGAGUAAAACAAGCAAAUAAAUUAAAACUUUCAACAACGGAUCUCUUGGCUCUGGCAUCGAUGAAGAACGCAGCGAAAUGCGAUAAGUAAUGUGAAUUGCAGAAUUCAGUGAAUCAUCGAAUCUUUGAACGCACAUUGCGCCCGCCAGUAUUCUGGCGGGCAUGCCUGUUCGAGCGUCAUUACAACCCUCAGGCCCCCGGGCCUGGCGUUGGGGAUCGGCGGAGCCUCUCUGUGGGCACACGCCGUCCCCCAAAUACAGUGGCGGUCCCGCCGCAGCUUCCAUCGCGUAGUAGCUAACACCUCGCGACUGGAGAGCGGCGCGGCCACGCCGUAAAACACCCAACUCUUCUGAAGUUGACCUCGAAUCAGGUAGGAAUACCCG